CUGACUCUCAAGCUCUCAGCCCUUUGAACUUCGUCACCAGCCUCCCUGCUUCUCUUGUUUGAAGAUGGAAGAUCAGGGGACAUCUCAACCUCCACAGCCAUAUCUCUGUCACCAUGUGCCCAUCCAUGUAUCAAUCGACAUAAGGUCCCACUGUAAUGGGAACAUGCUGGCUUCAACAAG